rnacentral:piRNA from 1 species
UGUUAUUGAAAUUAAAAAAAA